GUGGUUCUGCGGGUGCCAAAAC
ensembl:ncRNA